rnacentral:rRNA from 1 species
GCAAGGGAUUUUCCGCAAUGGGCGCAAGCCUGACGGAGCGACGCCGCGUGGGGGAUGAGAUCCUUCGGGAUGUAAACCCCUUUUCGAGGUGAGGAGGAAGGACAGUAGCCUCGGAAGAAGCCCCGGCUAACUACGUGCCAGCAGCCGCGGUAAUACGUAGGGGGCGAGCGUUGUCCGGAGUGACUGGGCGUAAAGCGCGCGCAGGCGGUUCGCCGCGUCGGUCGUGAAAUACCCUGGCUCAACUGGGGUGGGUCGACCGAGACGGGCGGACUGGAGGGUGUCAGAGGGGGGUGGAAUGCCGUGUGGAGCAGUGAAAUGCGUAGAGAUGCGGCGGAACACCAGCGGCGAAGGCGGCCCCCUGGGGCACAACUGACGCUGAGGCGCGAAGGCCGGGGGAGCGAACGGGAUUAGAUACCCUGGUAGUCC